ACGGCUCAGUAACACGUGGACAACCUACCCUGAGGUCGGGGAUAAACCCGGGAAACUGGGUAUAAUACCCGAUAGAUCUAGAUUGCUGGAAUGCUUUUAGGUCUAAAGUUCCGGCGCCUCAGGAUGGGUCUGCGGCCUAUCAGGGUAGUAGUGGGUGUAAAGUACCUACUAGCCUACGACGGGUACGGGUUGUGAGAGCAAGAGCCCGGAGAUGGAUUCUGAGACACGAAUCCAGGCCCUACGGGGUGCAGCAGGCGCGAAACCUUUACAAUGCUGGCAACAGCGAUAAGGGGACCUCGAGUGCUACGAUACAAUCGUGGCUGUCUAGUUGCCUAAAAAGCAAUUGAUAGCAAGGGCCGGGCAAGACCGGUGCCAGCCGCCGCGGUAACACCGGCGGCUCGAGUGGUAACCGCUAUUAUUGGGUCUAAAGGGUCUGUAGCCGGCUUAGUUAGUCUCUUGAGAAAUCUGGCCGCUCAACGGUCAGGCGUUCAGGGGAUACUGCUAAAGCUCGAGACCGGGAGAGGUGAGAGGUACUUCAGGGGUAGGGGUGAAAUCUUGUAAUCCUUGAAGGACCACCAGUGGCGAAGGCGUCUCACCAGAACGGAUCUGACGGCAAGGGACGAAAGCUAGGGGCACGAACCGGAUUAGAUACCCGGGUAGUCCUAGCCGUAAACGAUACUCGCUAGGUGUCGGCCACGGUGCGACCGUGGUCGGUGCCGUAGGGAAGCCGUGAAGCGAGCCACCUGGGAAGUACGGCCCCAAGGCUGAAACUUAAAGGAAUUGGCGGGGGAGCAC
rnacentral:rRNA from 1 species